CAGUAGCCGCGGGAAUACGUAGGGUGCGAGCGUUAAUCGGAAUUACUGGGCGUAAAGCGUGCGCAGGCGGCUUUGCAAGACAGAUGUGAAAUCCCCGGGCUCAACCUGGGAACUGCAUUUGUGACUGCAAGGCUAGAGUGCGGCAGAGGGAGAUGGAAUUCCGCGUGUAGCAGUGAAAUGCGUAGAUAUGCGGAGGAACACCGAUGGCGAAGGCAAUCUCCUGGGCCUGCACUGACGCUCAUGCACGAAAGCGUGGGGAGCAAACAGGAUUAGAUACCCCUGUAGUCCCUGUCUCUUAUAC
rnacentral:rRNA from 1 species